GGGAGAGCUCAAUUUGAAAGCUGGUACCUUCGGUAUCCGCGUUGUAACCUCGAGACACGUUUUCCGUGCGGCGCUAUGGACAAGUUCCUCGGAACAGGACAUCGUAGAGGGUGAAAAUCCCGUACUCGCCAUGGAUGUACCGUGCUUUGCGAUACGUGCUCUAAGAGUCGAGUUGUUUGGGAUUGCAGCUCAAAAUGGGUGGUAGACUCCAUCUAAAGCUAAAUAUCGGGGAGAGACCGAUAGCGAACAAGUACCGUGAGGGAAAGAUGAAAAGCACUUUGGAAAGAGAGUUAAAAGUACGUGAAAUUGUCGAAAGGGAAGCGCUUGAAGUCAGCCAUGCCGCUCAGGACUCAGCCUGGCUUUUGCUUGGUGUAUUUCCUGGGGUAGCAAGUCAGCAUUGGUUUGGAUCGUCGGAGAAGCAUAGUCGGAAUGUGGCGCCCUCGGGCGUGUUAUAGCCUUCUAUUGGAUACGACGAUCUAGACCAAGGAACGCAGCGCGCCUUAUGGCGGGUCUUCGGACACCUUCGCGCUUAGGAUGCUGGCGUAAUGGCUUUAAGGGCCGG
rnacentral:rRNA from 1 species